rnacentral:tRNA from 1 species
CGGCGCACUCGAUGUGCGGCACAUCCACAGCGGUCCCUGGCUGCCGGGGACGCCGGCCGGUUCGAUUCCGUUGCGCCGC